AUACGUAGGGUGCAAGCGUUAAUCGGAAUUACUGGGCGUAAAGCGUGCGCAGGCGGCUUUGUAAGACAGUGGUGAAAUCCCCGGGCUCAACCUGGGAACUGCCAUUGUGACUGCAAGGCUGGAGUGCGGCAGAGGGGGAUGGAAUUCCGCGUGUAGCAGUGAAAUGCGUAGAUAUGCGGAGGAACACCGAUGGCGAAGGCAAUCACCUGGGCCUGCACUGACGCUCAUGCACGAAAGCGUGGGGAGCAAACAGGAUUAGAUACCCUGGUAGUCCACGCCCUAAACGAUGUCAACUGGUUGUUGGGGAUUUAUUUUCUCAGUAACGAAGCUAACGCGUGAAGUUGACCGCCUGGGGAGUACGGCCGCAAGGUUAAAACUCAAAUGAAUUGACGGGG
rnacentral:rRNA from 1 species